ensembl:misc_RNA Metazoa_SRP Metazoan signal recognition particle RNA
GUGGGGCUCGGAGGAACGUGUCUGUAGUUGCAGCUACUCAGGAGGCUAAGGUGGGAGGAUGACUUGAGCCCAGGACUUCUGGGCUGUAGGCACUAUAGCCAUCAGAUGUCUGCACUAAGGUCAGCAUUGAUAUGACGACCUCCUGAAAGCCAGAGACCAGCAGGUUGCCUAAGGAGGGGUGAACCAGCCCAGGUUGGAGAUGGAGCCGAUCAGAAUUCCCAUGCUGAUCAGUAGUGGGCUGUGCCUGUGAUAGCCGUUGUACUCCGGCCUGGGAAACACAACAAAACACUGUCUCUU